CAACAAAGCUGGAUUUUAGGUUCGUCGGGUUCAUAUUCAAAUUUUCCUGAAGUAGAAACAAAUAUUUUGUUUGAAUAUUAAGAAAGUAUAACAUAGGAAUACAGUAUAUCACUGAAAGUUGUUUGUAGUAUAUGUACACUUGUCAACUAUGGCCUAUUGUUUUGAUUAAUAGGCAAAUUGCAGUUUUCUUUGAUGGUCCUGUAAAUUAUUGGACUAAAUACUUUCAAAUUCGAAAUUG
rnacentral:lncRNA from 1 species